rnacentral:lncRNA from 1 species
AGCUGUUCAUCGCCCUUCGUCUUCUUCGUCAGCGCCAUAAGCACGCGGAGGCCAUGGGAGAUCCAUUCCCGCAGCAACCGGACACCGAGGCCGGUGCACGACGCCCCGACGACGAGCAUCUUCUUCACCUCCGGCGAUCUCUUCUGCGGAGUACCUCGACGUCGCGCAUUCCUUUCCUGCGCCGACUCUCCUCUCCGCCCCGUGGUGAGCAGUCGAAGCCUCGUCCCCUCUCCUCUGUCCGAAGUAUCGCGUAGCUGCGUCGCCAGCGUGUCGCCUUGCCGCGCGGCUCUGUAGAGCAGGGCAGCGGAGGUAGCUAGUAGCGGCAAGUAGCAGUAGAAGCCGCAUCAUGCACCCAGCAGUAGCAGCACCACAGCAUCCACAACAUGCAGUUGCAGUAGCACCGAGCGAGCAGUGCAUUCGCGCGCGUAUAGAGCAGCUCGUACGUCGCGUGCGUCGCCGGAGUCGCUCAUCCGUGCGUGUCUCUGUUGCCAUGGAGCUAGCCCCCUGUCUUGCGUUCAACUAGCGUAGAUCCCCCAGUUCGAGCAAACGCCCCACGGUAGCCCAGUGGCAAUAGAGCGUGCGUUGCACCGCAGCGUCCUGAGUUCGAUCCCCAGCGUGCCCCUUUUUCUUUUCAGGGGUUUUUUCCAUCGGCGCUCUUCGAGUAAUUAACUUAGGGAAGUUUCCUCCCGUAGUAGAGCAGUGUUACGAUCCCUAGCAAGCUGGUUCGACCGAGCCAUGGCGACCGUGAGGUCCUGGGUUCGAGUCCCCAUGUCGCCUUUUUUUACUGUUUUAUAUUUCCUGUUGUGAUUAGGGAGUUAGUCAUUGUAUGUCUGCAUACCUUCCCAUACUAGUUCAGCUGCAUGUGGCUAGCCCACUGGUGAUGGUCGUGCACUCCACCAGGGAGAUGGUGGGUUCGACUCCCACCUCUCUCAUAUUUUCCUUUUAUGUGUUGUGACUUGUGUGUGCCACUGACAGGUGGUCCCGGGGCCCUGGUGACUAUGACCAGUAGGCCCCCUGUCAGUUUACAUUUUAGUGGUGAUAUAUUUGUGACUUGUGUGAAAUAUCCUUGUUUGGAGUAAUUCCAGAAAUGGAAUGGCCUGAUCUGGUAUAUCCCAAAUUGGGCAGGCUCAGGAACGGUUCAUGUUCUUGACUAUGCUGUAGUUUGAUCCUGUGUUAUUUUUCUUUUGUUGUUUGUGGUGUUUUUCUGCAUGUAACAUGGGCAGUAUGACAUAUGGAUUUGGGGUAGCAGAACCCAAUGAAUCCAAAGGUGACACUGGAUUCCAGUCGUGAGCAGUUAUGCAGAAGUGUCACUUUGUGUUGAGGUGGCACUUGUUGACCUCGUAGGUUGGUGUAAGUGCAUAGUUAGGGAUUGAGCAUACAUGCAUCAUUUUAGUUAGUGCUUCCUGUUGUGCAUGUCUCUUGAAUGUAGCUCCGUUCUUUGUUCCACAUGUUAACCGACUAGGAUGACAUGUAGAAUCACCGCUUCACCUCUUGCCAUGUUUAACCACAUUUAAUACUGCCGUGUAUCUAAUCGGGAUAGAACUAAAUAACUCAUAUGUGGAGUUUCGUCAAUAUGCAACUCGUUGCAUAUUGAACUUCACUUAAUGUGUAGUGUUUGUUUGUGUGAUUUGUCAUGUCGUGACUUGCAUGUAUUCAGCUGCUCAUGCAUCAUAUGUGUUGUGCAUCGUGUGGUGAAUUCCGUGUGUUGAUUUGUGUUUCCGGUUUGCUUCGUUCCGAUAGAGUUCCGCAAGCGUGUCGGAAUGUGAGGACCCGUUCGACUACGUCAGUUCGUCUGCUUCACGGAGGCAUUCUUCUUCCAAGCGGGAUCUCAGGCAAGAUGAUCAUUUCCUCAGAUACCAUUACUAUCAUUGCCAUGCUAGUUAUUUCGAUGCUAUCGUUUAUGUCUUGUUGCCUA